CACAGCACAGGCACUGAUCAAAGUUCUAGGUGUUUACCUGCACCCAGCCAUUAGCAGAGCACCUGCCUGCUGCUGCUGCCAGCACUAGGAACGCUGAGGAGACAGUACAGGAACAAAAGCAAGAUCAUAACUGGCUUCCAGAUGUUUCCCGUGAAUGUGACACAGAAGGAAGCAGGAACAGGAAUGGUGUGGAUGGUACCAGACGUUCCAACCCCUGCAUCAGCCCAUUAGCGGUGGGCAAUGAACACAGUGCUGUGCUGAGCCUCAGCAAUUAUGAUCCUGUUCCUGAUGAACAAACCAAACAGCUGUGCCUGUUUAUCUUAUUGAUCAUCUCUACACUUGCUAUGGUGACCUGCAAACACUUUCAGCAGUAUCCUGAGUCAACAUGUAAGUGAUAGAAAUAGAUUUAAGUGAACAUCCUUUAGAAGAAAGGUAGGAGUGUAUUAUAUUUGGGAAAAUUCAUUAGGUGAAAUAGUAUUGUUAUAUGAUGAAAAAGUUGAAACAUACUACUGUGAGAAAUUAAACUACCUAUACUAUUUAAAACUCUCAGAGGAAAUAGAAUAUUUAGCAUCAAAUUUUGCAAUCUGAUCCUAGUACUUCACCUUAAUUUGCUUUAGAAUUUAAAAAAAAUACUGGUUUGGGUACAUCAUGGCUGAUGACUUUUAUGGCAAUACAUAACUUACUGAGAAAUUGCUAUUUGCAAUGGGUUAGCUGUUUCUUGCUUGCCCUUUUUAACCUCAGGGUAUAUUUUGAUGCAUUAUCUCCUUUUCACAUUAAAAAAAAAGUCGAUAGAGUCCAAGCAAUGAGCAAGUGGACAGGUGAGGACCUCAGCCAGGUGGAGCUGGGACUGCUGCCCCACCCUGCCACCACCCCACCAUCCCUCCCCCUCCCAGCGAGGAGCCACCAAGGUGCCUUCAGCACCACCCCAGCCCAGUGCAUAUCACCCCCCACCCCACCUCCCCUGCUUCCUGGCUGCAUAGGUACCUGGUCCCAAAGUGCACACACUGCAGAGGCACAGAGGGUCAUAAAGGCC
rnacentral:lncRNA from 1 species